rnacentral:tRNA from 1 species
AGGCGCGUAGCUCAGUGGGUAGAGCGCUACCUCGACACGGUAGAAGUCGUUGGUUCAAAUCCAAUCGCGCCUACCA